rnacentral:rRNA from 1 species
UACGGGGGGGGCAAGCGUUGUUCGGCAUUACUGGGCGUAAAGGGCUCGUAGGUGGCCAACUAAGUCAGACGUGAAAUCCCUCGGCUUAACCGGGGAACUGCGUCUGAUACUGGAUGGCUAGAGUUUGGGAGAGGGAUGCGGAAUUCCAGGUGUAGCGGUGAAAUGCGUAGAUAUCUGGAGGAACACCGGUGGCGAAGGCGGCAUCCUGGACCAACACUGACGCUGAGGAGCGAAAGCCAGGGGAGCAAACGGG